GCUGACAGUGCUCUUAGCAGCCGCGGCCACAACACGACCUCAGUGACAGCAGCCACGGCGGGCCAGGAUCUGUGCUAAGGGUUUUCCAUGCCUCCGUUGCACGUACCCUAACAACCACCCAAGGAGGGGGUGUUGUCUUUGUAUCCCAGAACGGUUAAGCAGCUUACUUGGGAUCACACAAUCCACAGACUUCCCUUGUUGAGGUGAGGCAGCGCCUUCGACGUCUCUGACUCCUAGGCCAGGUGUGUGUCUAGCUCCGUGAUGGAAGGUGCCAGCUUCCCUUGUAAGUGACCAGCAUGGGCUCUGCUUCACCCUUCCGGGCUCCCAGCUUACCCAGACCUUAGCAGUCUGCUGACUCCAGCUUUCAGCAGAGCAGAAACAACGCCUUGGGAAGACUUAAAACAACUUUGAAUAAGAACCUGCUUGAGAAAGAUUUGCCUUACAAGCUAAAUGUUACAUUUCCACUCAACAGAAAGGUACUGCUGUGUGGCCGUAAAAAGCUGGCCAAAACCCUGUAACCUUUGCAGUUAGUCAUGUUAUUUUUGGUUCAUGCCAACAUGGAUCACAGCUGUGACUCAACAGAGCCACUGAAGCAAGAAUUCAAAGAGUUUAAAGAACAGCAAACUCAGAAAUGACUUUUUUUUUCUUAUGGUGUCAUUACGCAACAUUUCUUGUCGUUUACCUUUUCUAAUUUACCAACUCCAUACAGAUGAGCUCAGUCGUUGUUUGGCAAUUGAAAAUCUGAGUUGCGUCAGCACACUUCCCCAAAUCCCACUGCAGGCGGAGGAUGAUGAAGCUUUCCUUUCUGGGGUGUUUGUUUUACAUUGAGAUUGUGAUCUGGGAGACCAAAGUAGACAUUACUUUAUCAAUGAAGAAGGACCUUAAGGUUAACGAAACAAAAAGUUGGCCAGGUGAGGUGGCUCACGCCUGUAAUCCCAGCACUUUGGGAGGCAGAGGUGGGUGGAUCACGAGGUCAGGAGUUCAACACAAUCCUGGCCAACAUGGUGAAACCCCGUCUCUACUAAAAAUACAAAAUUAGCUGGGUACGGAGGCACACACCUGCAGUCCCAGCUACUCAGGAGGCUGAGGCAGGAGAAUUGCUUGUACCUAGGAGGCGGAGGUUGCAGUGAGCUGAGAUCAUGCCAGUGCACUCCAGCCUGUGUGAUGGAGCAAGACUCCGUCUCAAAAAAAAAAAAAAAGAAAAAAAAAUUUUACCUAUGGAUUGAGAGCUUAGGGCCCAGCUGGCCUUGCGAAUUUCUAAAUUCCUGUAAGAAAAUCCACACUCUUGCUAAACUCCCUAACAAUAGGAGCUAUUGGGCAAAUUAUCCUAACUCCAAUUUGCAAUCCAGACCACUACUAUUCUGAUUGGACAGAGGACAGGCCUUACAAACAUUCUUUUCUGAUGAGCAAUUGCAGACCUUAAGCCAGUUUCAGCCAGCUUAUAGAGGCUGCACACACACUGUCUUUGUGUCCUAUAGUUCACCUUUUGCCCCAAAGUGAAUAUGGGAUGUAUAUUACAUGUUUGUUUAUUCAUUGCUCCUGUGCUUGGCUCUCCUCAUAAAUAUGUAUAGCUUCUACCCCAAACCUGCUGAAUACGUAUGACUCUAUUGUGUAAUACAGACUCUCAGAGGAAUGAGACCCAACCUGUCCUUCCCCUGUUUGAAGAGAGAGCAUCUUUGGUCCAUGCUGGAGACUUUCUCUUCCAGCUUGCAACUGAUAUCACCAAUAAAGCUCUUCUUUCUACUAUUUAGUCAUCCUGGUGGUCUUUUGGAUUAUAAGUUUUUGUGUCCCAUAGUUAUACCCAUUGCUUAAGCUUGCCAUAUAGAAAAUGCCAUUCAUAGACACAGCUCUUCAUUUGAGUACUUAAAGGUAAGUUUAAAAUGUGGAAACAGGCUGGGCACAGUGGCUCACGCCUGUAAUCACAGCACUUUGGGAGGCUGAGGCUGGUGGAUCACCUGAGGUCAGGAGUUCAAGAUCAGCCUGGCCAACGUGGUGAAAACCCAUCUCUACCAAAAAUACAAAAAUUAGCUGGGCAUGGUGGCACGCACCUGUAAUCCCAGCUACUCAGCAGGCUGAGGCAGAAGAAUCACUUGAACCUGGGAGUCGAAGAUGGCAGUGAGCUGAGAUCAUGCCAUUGCACUCCAGCCUGGGUGACAGAGCGAGAAUCCAUCUCAAAAAAAAAAAAAAAAAAAAAAAAAGUGGAAACACCAUUUUGGAGGUUUUCUUUCAAUAACAAAGAUGUUGCCCAAAAGGAAAUACAUUUCUACGAUACCCUUUGGGUGUGACAGGGAAUUUUAUACACCUCCAUAAGGAAAGUGUAUAACAUUCUUGGGAGCUACCUUCAAGCAUUUACUGUACAGGGAAAAUGGAAGAUGGUCUACUGAAUGAGUGUCUCACUGUGGAUUGGUCCAGGAACCAGUUCAGCACAUGGUAGCAGCUAUUCCUUUUUAAAGUAAACUGAUGGAACUUUUGUUUCCUUUUGUUUCCUGAAACCUUUUGUUUCCUGAUUCUCUUGUUUUUGGCAAAUUCUUACUUGAAAAUAUUUUUGAACUAGAAUGUUUUGAGCUCGGAGAACCUGCAGAAACCAUCUUAUUUAUGGAUGCAGAAGGUAGCACAGAAAGGUUAAGGAACUUACCUAAAGUUACACAGCUAAUUUGUGGCAAAAGUGGGAUUCACUUCCAGGUUUAGUAUGUCAUUUGAAUCACGUCAUAACCUGCUUUGGAGAACAAAUUGAUCUAAAGAAUUGACUGUUCCAAAGAAUUUGGUUUAUAAAUCUUAAAAUCAUUUAGAUCACAAAAUGUCAUGAGAGAAAACACUGAGAAUAUAGAGAAAUGUUCAGAAUAUUAGAACAAAUUGAAGUUGUACCUAUUUCAAGAAAAAUAAAAUCUUUCCUAUAUCUUUAUGUGUAUAAUGAUUUUUAGAUUAUUUUUUAAAUUGCCAAAAUUCAAUUUGGCAAAGCAGUGAACUUUGAAACACAUGUUAAUAAACUGAAGUUUUAUUUACUGAUUUUCUAUAAACAAAUAAACACUGAAAUGUUAUCUAUAAUAAUGAAUAUUCUUGUGUUCCUGGAACACAUUGAAAUAUUGUGUUGUAAUAAAAUAAAAAUUACAGUGCUGUAGAGGUUAGCAUUGGAGGUUAACGUAUUAUUUCGAUGUAUAAAAUAUAGUAUUGAACAAAACAGACAUAAAUCAGCAUAUGGUGGGAUUCCAUUCAUAUGAAAUGCAAAAAUGGGUGUAUUAGUCUGUUCUCACAUGGCUAUAAGGAGAUACCUGAACCUGGAUAAUUUAUAAAGAAAAAAGGUUUAAUUGGCUCACAGUUUUGUAGGCUGUACAGGAAGCAUGGCUGAGGAGGCCUCAGGAAACUUACAAUCAUGGUGGACGGUGAAGGGGAAGCAGGCUUAUCUUAUAUGGACAGAGAAGGAGGAAGAGAGUGAAGUGGGAGGUGCUACCCACUUUUAAACCACCAGAUCUUCUGAGAACUCACUGUCACGAGAAGAGCAAAUUGGGAAAUCUGCCCCUUUGAUCCAGUCAUCUCCCACGAGGCCCCUCCUCCAACACUGGGGAUUUCAGCUCAACAUGAGAUUUGGGCAGGGAUGAAAAUCCAAACCCUAACAAUGGGCAAAACCAAUUUAGACUGUUACAAGUCAGGAUGGUGGCUGUUCUUGGGAUGGGUUCCCGGAAUUGCUGGAACUGGGUGUGAGGGGCUGGUCAUGUUUCUUGAUCUAGGUUCUGGUUACAUAUGUGUGUUCAGUUUGUGAAAGUUUAUCAAAUUGUGCAUUACUACCUAUGUAGUUUUCUGAAUAUAUAUUAUACUUCAAUAAAAUGUUUUAAAAAUAUGUAUAUCAUAUAUCAUUUCAUCUUAGAAACAGAACACGUUAAUAAGUGACUAGUUUUUGGAAGAAAUUAUUAUAGCAUAAGUUUUAAAAAAAGAUGUUGGGGUGGGGUUUUUAACUUUCCAUAAUGCUGUAAAGUUUGCAACACUCACACAGUCAUAGAACAAAUAGAACUUUGACUUUGGUUUCAAAAUUUAUGCAGCUGCCUCCAUAUACUUUUGACAGUUUAAUCACAUAUUUAACAGUUACAAAGCAUGUUUUAGACAUCAAGAGGAUACAUGGAGAUGGUGGUAGGGCUUAUAUACCCAUGGUCGUGUAAAACAGGAA
rnacentral:lncRNA from 1 species